rnacentral:rRNA from 1 species
UACGUAGGGUCCGAGCGUUGUCCGGAAUCACUGGGCUUAAAGCGUGUGUAGGCGGACUUCUAAGUACCUUGUGAAAUCCCACGGCUCAACCGUGGAACUGCUUGGUAUACUGGUCGUCUUGAGCCAUCUAGGGGCUGUCGGAACAAAUGGUGGAGCGGUGAAAUGCGUAGAUAUCAUUUGGAACGCCAAAGGUGAAAACAGACAGCUGGGGAUGUGCUGACGCUGAGACACGAAAGCCAGGGGAGCGAACGGG